UUUCUGGAAGACAAAAGCACAUUGAUACUUGUGUCAAGCGCCACCCUCAAGCACACUCCUGUUCACGUCAGCUCUGUGUGCCAGAAUCAGAACAGAAGCUGUGUCCUGUAUCAGAAUCUGAAAAAGCCCAAGUUGCAUGAAUGAAGGUUGGCCUGAUACAUCCACAUUCUUUCUCUCAGACCCUGCUGUGGCCAAGAGCUUGUAUUUUGUCAUCCAGACAACUGGAAAGAUGGGUUUCUUCUAUGUGACAUUCAUAAGCCUAUAAGGGAACCUGAAUCAUGACUUUGCUCUCUUAGCCUCAAAGAAGCUAGUAGCAGACAGCAUGUGUAUCUGGUGCAGGUCUAGAACCUGUCUGGCAGGCUGUGGACGGAACAGCACUCCAGGUAAGGCCAGAGUAUGAAAGCCUGGGGCCAGGCGGGUGAGCAUGUCAGGACUGAAUGUCCAAGCAACAUCUCGCUGCAGGACAGAUGCUGCAGUGACAAAGCCUCUUCCAAUGCUUCUUGCCUUACUGAACUCAUGGUUAGACUCAUUUUUAACAUUAAAGUGAAGUCAUCCCUGGCUGACAUCUUGACUUUUAACAUAUUAUACAAUAUAUAGUAACUUCAUUGUAUAAUAACAAAUCCAUUUCAUAUUAGCAAAUGGAAUGAGUUUGAAGGCCCAGGGUUGAAGCCUGGCUCUGCUACUUAUUAGCUAUGAUGGUUGAAAAUAUGUUUACAAAUUCUUUAACGUGCUAUUUUUAUUUUUUUUGAGCCAAGGUUUCAUUCUGUUGCUCCCAGGCUGAAAUGCAGUGGC